AUGGUUGCUUCUGCUCCUGUUCGGUGUGGACAGCCACGUCGGGGUCGUCCUCCUGGGAUUCGGGCGGCUGUUAUUGCUCGUGUACGCCGUGCCGGCAUGCCUCUUCCUUCUGCGGAUUCCUCAUCGGUGACGGCAGGCGCUGCUCAGCGUGGUCGGUUGGCUGGGGUUGAUUUAGUGCGGCGUUUCCACUCCGCGUCUCGCCGGCCGCUUCGCUCUCGCCGGGCUGGUAGCCAGCGUUCUGACUCGCCCGCGACGUGCUCAGCUCUACACGGACAUAACCACGUCUGCUUGGCGGUGGCUCUCCACGCCAGCGCCCGUUCCUUCUUCACCCGACGACGAUGGCAGCGCCGUGAUCGCAUAGCCUGCGGCCUUCCACAGCGAGCGGCGCGCCGAUCACGCUCGAGGUCGCCCUGCUAA
rnacentral:rRNA from 1 species